rnacentral:rRNA from 1 species
GGGCCAGACUCCUACGGGAGGCAGCAGUGGGGAAUUUUGGACAAUGGGCGCAAGCCUGAUCCAGCUAUUCCGCGUGUGGGAUGACGGCCCUCGGGUUGUAAACCACUUUAGUAGAGAACGAAAAGGAGCUAUCGAAUAAAUAGCUCUGCUGACGGUACUCUAAGAAUAAGCACCGGCUAACUACGUGCCAGCAGCCGCGGUAAUACGUAGGGUGCGAGCGUUAAUCGGAAUUACUGGGCGUAAAGGGUGUGCAGGCGGGCUGUUAAGUCAGCGGUCAAAUGUCGGGGCUCACCCCCGGCCUGCCGUUGAAACUGGCGGCCUCGAGUGGGCGAGAAGUAUGCGGAAUGCGUGGUGUAGCGGUGAAAUGCAUAGAUAUCGCGCAGAACUCCGAUUGCGAAGGCAGCAUGCCGGCUCCACACUGACGCUGAGGCACGAAAGCGUGGGUAUCGAACAGGAUUAGAUACCCUAGUAA